UGGGGGAUAUUGCACAAUGGGCGAAAGCCUGAUGCAGCGACGCCGCGUGGGGGAUGAAGGCCUUCGGAUUGUAAACUUCUUUUGCUCUGAACAAGGCAUGCCUUUGGGGUGUGUUGAGUGUAGGGGUUGAUUAGCGCCGGCUAACUACGUGCCAGCAGCCGCGGUAAUACGUAGGGCGCGAGCGUUGUCCGGAAUUAUUGGGCGUAAAGGGCUUGUAGGUGGCUGGUUGCGUCUGUCGUGAAAGCUCAUGGCUUAACUGUGGGUUUGCGGUGGGUACGGGCUGGCUUGAGUGCAGUAGGGGAGGCUGGAAUUCCUGGUGUAGCGGUGGAAUGCGCAGAUAUCAGGAGGAAUACCGGUGGCGAAGGCGGGUCUCUGGGCUGUUACUGACGCUGAGGAGCGAAAGCGUGGGGAGCGAACAGG
rnacentral:rRNA from 1 species